rnacentral:rRNA from 1 species
UAUCCUGAAGGACCACCAGUGGCGAAGGCGUCUCACCAGAACCGACCUGACGCAAGGGACGAAAGCUAGGGGCACGAACCGGAUUAGAUACCCGGGUAGUCCUAGCCGUAAACGAUACUCGCUAGGUGUCGGCCACGGUGCGACCGUGGUCGGUGCCGUAGGGAAGCCGUGAAGCGAGCCACCUGGGAAGUACGGCCGCAAGGCUGAAACUUAAAGGAAUUGGCGGGGGAGCACCACAACGGGUGGAGCUUGCGGUUUAAUUGGAUUCAACGCCGGAAAUCUUACCGGGACCGACAGCAAGAUGAAGGCCAGGCUGAAGACUUUGCCGGAUUAGCUGAGAGGUGGUGCAUGGCCGUCGUCAGUUCGUACUGUGAAGCAUCCUGUUAAGUCAGGCAACGAGCGAGACCCACGCCCACAGUUGCCAGCGUACUCUCCGGAGUGAUGGGUACACUGUGGGGACCGCCGCUGCUAAAGCGGAGGAAGGAAUGGGCAACGGUAGGUCAGUAUGCCCCGAAUAUCCCGGGCUACACGCGAGCUACAAUGGUUGGUACAAUGGGUAUCUACCCCGAAAGGGGAUGGAAAUCUCCUAAAACCAAUCUUAGUUCGGAUUGAGGGCUGCAACUCGCCCUCAUGAAGCUGGAAUCCGUAGUAAUCGCGUUUCAACAGAACGCGGUGAAUACGUCCCUGCUCCUUGCACACA